UAUUAAGAUAUUAAAUUGAAAAAAGAACUACAAAUUUAAAUAAAAGGUUUGCUUGGAGGAUUGUGUGAUUUUUGUUGGUCUUUGCGGUGAACCCAGUGGAUAAAUUAAUUAAUAAGUGUGAGGCGAAAGCCAUUGAGGCCAGCCACGUUUACACACGACAGCGCAACAACGAAAGAAAAGCGCUAUCUCUUGGGUGAAGACCAAACAUCACAAACAUUAUCCCGGUAUUGCAAAGGUAGGAAAAUAUAAUUUCCCAACUUUUUAUAGCACCAGUAUAUCUGCCCCACCGCCAUCUACGGGACAGUGGCUAUACAAGCAUUCCACGUGAUCUCGGUUCAGCACCACUUUAUUCCUAUAAAGAAAAAAUUGGCUGUGUUAAUGAUCCAAGACACAAUAGGAUCCACACAUAUAUCGACAAACUGUCAUAAUUUUACAAGGUUUCCAAGGUGGAAGAUUUUUGCUAUUACCACGAUUGGUGCAGAAGAAAAGAAAAAGCCUGGAAACAAAAUUCUAAGUGGCGCAAGUAGUAAAAUUAAUGAAUAAGAAGUUAGCGUCACUAUUCUUAACUACAAUUUUCAUCUAAAAACGAUUUUUAUUGACCUAAUAUUAAAAUUUUUUUUAUCACAUUUAAAAUCAAAAAUUAUUCCUGUUAUUCCUGUCAAAAUAUUAUUCAUAUUUAGAUUUAGUUAUUUGUAUUGACUUAUUUUAUUAGUAUUAUUAUUUAUGUUUAUUUGUUUGUUACGUGUCUAAAUUUUCUUUUUUUCAGCAUUCUCAAAGCUAAGGUUUCAAUAUAGUUUUUUUUUUUGUUCCCCAUUAAAUUUCUUCGCAACAGAGCUCUUUUGUCGAGGUUAUUAGGGUGGGUUUGAAAGUGUUAAAAGUAUAUAUAUUAAAAACCACGUUCAUUGUGGAUUCGGAAAAAAAAUAGCUUUGCGAGUGUAAUUUCAGUCUUGUCUAUUAAUGUUCAUGGAAUUGGACAUGAAAUAAACCUUUUUUUUGAGGUAAAAGAUUCAUGGUCAAAAGACCGUUCGUUAUUUAAUUUGGCAAAUAGCCGUUAAAAUUUUAAAUUUCCUAACAACCCUUUAGCAGGAAUAAAACAACUAUUUAAAUUUUUAUGUGAUAAUUUUUUUUAGAUAUUUAUUGUAUUUUUAUUGUUGUAAGUUUUUUUUUUAUUAAGCAUAAACGACUUCUUGUUAGGAUUAGUAAUUCUUUUAAAUAAUAAUAAAAAAUGAUUUGAAUGUUUGUCAAGAUUAAAAAGAUGACGUGUUAAGUUAGCUAAAGAGGAAUUAAGGACGAGGUAAGUGGUGGAUGUGGGCGGUUUGUGGGGUCAGUUAAGUAAAGAAGAGGAGGUACUGAUCAUGGUUGGGUGGGCAUGAUAUUGGUCAUCGGUUGGGGGUCCAGUAUAGGAGGUGAUGCAUCGUUGUGUUAAUGUAGUAUUCAGUGUUGUGUCUUCAUUUUAAUUGCUGCAUGUCAGGAGUAGGGGUGACGGGUUGGGACCACACCCAGAGAGGCGACCAAGCUAGUCGGAGCACAUAUGGACAUGACCCCCUACUACAGCGCAU